rnacentral:rRNA from 1 species
UACGGAGGGUGCGAGCGUUGUCCGGAAUCAUUGGGCGUAAAGGGCGCGUAGGUGGCCCAGUAAGCGUGCGGUGAAAUCCCGGGGCUCAACCCCGGGCGUGCAGUGGAUACGGGCUGGCUAGAGGCAGGCAGGGGAGAACGGAAUUCCCGGUGUAGCGGUGGAAUGCGUAGAGAUCCGGAAGAACACCGGUGGCGAAGGCGGCCUGCUGGGCAGUGGCUGACGCUGAGGCGCGACAGCGUGGGGAGCAAACAGG